ensembl:lncRNA
GGCUUCUGAUAUUGUGUGAAUUAUGUGGCUUUGGUCUCAUGGCAAGUGUGAAAGUUCGAGUUUUCUUAUAAGUAAUCAAUCUUUAAUCCUUAUUUGCUUUUAAGAUUUUGAUGGGCUGUUUGCGUUUUAUCUGAAUUGUUUCAGCCAGUGUAAACUUAGAGAAUGCUUUCAAUCUUUUGUUCAUUUUUGAAAGAUGAGUGAUUUCAAAAGUAAGGAAUGUCUCUGGUUUCAUGUAGGCUUUGCCUUAUUAAUGCAUUUUGGCUGUCAAAUUCUCUAGGUAUCGUUCAGAACUACAAACCCAGUGAAAUACCUUGGGUUAGUAAUUUCUCCUGUGAAGAAAUGUUGAGGGAGCUGGGCUUGUUUAGGUUGGAAAAGAGAAGGCUCUGGGGAGACCUCUUUGUGGCCUUCCCCCUCCUGUUUACAUGCUCCCUUCAAGUUUUAGGCUCAAAGCUUGCUUUCGGAGGCGUUUCUUGCACUAAGACUCUGACUUAACUAGGAGAUGAGAGGUGGGUGUUGCCGUGUGGCAGUUGGCAUGAAUGUAUGGACAACUGUACAUCUGAAAGCAUUUCUUUGAAGCUGUUUGCCUCUGGAAGAUUGUGCUCAGGUGUGUUUUCUGGCAGAAGAUCUGGCCUGCGACCAAAUAACUCCAGCUUGGUACAGGGAAAUUGGGGGAUAAUACCAUCGUGUCCUGUGAAAGACAGGACGCAGGUGGGCACUUCCCUGUUCCCUCUGAUCUUCUGGCAAGGCCCAGAAGAUGGGAACAAAGGUGUUUCUGCUGAGAUCCCAAAGCCGGAAGCUAUCACUAUAAGAGAGAUGGCUAGAACACUUUGGACUUGGUUAUAACUAAGUCUGUACUGCCAUUGGAAAGAACUGCUGUCAUCGACAUCAGCUGAACAGCAACCCCCAAUGACCCAUCACUACUGAAGAUCAACAUCUAAACCACACUGGACCCAUGGUGCUGACUACUUCACUCUUGAUUUGUACGGAGACUCCUUGCUUUUAUUUCUUAUCUCUUUUACGUUGCCCAUCUUCCCUUCCCCAUCUCCCUAAACAACUAGCAUUUAUAAUAAACUGGUUGGGCUAGCAAUUGACCCGUUGUGUCUUACUCUCGCCAUUGGGUAUACAUAUACUAGAAAAACAUCCCCUCCCUCCUAUAAAUAGGAGCGAAACAUGGGGGUGCUGCUGGAAGGACUGGGUGGACAGAGUUGAGUACAAAUGGUAUGUUAUUGUUACAGUGGAUGGGACCGCACUGGUAUCUGUGCUUUGUUGAGACACUUUUCCAAAGAAUUCUCUCCCUUUUUCUCCCAUUUUUGAGUCUUAUGUUAUCAAGUGUAAAAGUGGAAUUGAUUACGUAAUGUACUGAAUGAAAAAGGCAGUAUAAGAUUUUGUGUGUAGCUGCCUGCUGCCUCCAUCCCAGUGCUUCUGAUGGAUACCUCUGAGGACCAGCAUACUGUUGGGCUGUGCGUAUGCAAGCUGUCUGGUGUAACAGCAUCUGUGCUGCUGUUUGUGCUUUGAAUUCCUUGGCAGUGGAAUCUGGAGAGUUAGAGUUGUGCAGAAAAACUUGAUGUGCAGUUGGGAAAACUCAGUUCAUGACAAUUUUGUCAAGAUGUUAGCUUUACGUUAGAAGUCUUUCAUGUAAGGAGAACUGAGAAAAUACGGGAGAUUUUGGAUGCUUUCUGUAGGUUGAAGCCUUACUGAAAUGAUGGGGAACUUUAUGUCUGUUACUGAAAUUGGUGCGGCCACAUGCUGAAAACAUGGAGGAGAAAAAGACCAAAACAGAUGUUUCACAUUAUUCCUCAGGGGCAAAUAGUUCUUUUUGCCUUGUAUUUCAAAAGCUUCUUUUUGAAGCUUUGUGACAGUAGUAACUAACAGAGUUUUCCCUCAGCAAUUCACACUUGGUUCAGAGGAGCCAUGUCACUCACCGACAGCCCAGGGUGCUCUGCUUUCCAAGUUUCUUAGCUAUGCCUUUGGAGAGAGGAGUGAGCCUCCAACUCAUUGGUCAUCAGCCUUGUGAAAUAAGUUUAAGACUUCAAGUGGUAGAAUAACUUGGCCUUUGCAAACCUCUUUCCCUCUUCGUGGUUGUUUGAACCAUUUGGUCUUUUGGACAAGUUUGCUUUUCACUAUUUGUUUGCCUGGGGAAGCGGGAAGAUGUCAUUUGGGCAGACAGGGAUUAACGAGCAUUCAUCACGUUCUUCACUGCAAGUCAGCAACGCAAUCUGGGGGGGUAGUAAUUCAUGUUUAAAAUGCUGUCCUGAGAGUAAUGUCAAUAACCAGCAUGAACCAAUUUCUGGCACCUGUUUUGGAUCUGAUACCGUUUUACCUGGCUGGGUAGGUGCUCAGUCCUGCAGUAACAAUUCUAAGUAAGCCUUCCUCAAAUACUUUUUCACAAGUGCUACAGUCUGUAGCGGUAUCCUGAGAAACUGCAAGUAUCAAAACCAACGUGAUCUGGCAGUUCAGCAAGGUGGGAUGGUGCUCCCAGCUGUGCCUGCAGGAGGCGUACCUUCAGGAUGGGAACACCAGUUUCAGACAACCAUGGAACAGUUCAUUAUUUUGUUUCACCAUCUCCCUUCUUCUGCUGCUGGAAGUAGUAAGAUGGGAGUGCCAGGUAACCAUCUCUCUUCAAACAGACCCUCAGGAGGGUCUGACAGCAGCUGUCUCUAAAGCCCUGAAUCCCUUGGAGAAUUGCUUUGUUGGAGUCACAGAAAUACAGUCAGAACAAGUAUUUCUCCCACAUACCUAGCAAUAGGACGAGAGGGCCUCAAGUCAUGCCAGGGAAGAUUUGGGUUAGAUGUUAGGAAAUAGGUGGUGCAGUCAUCAACCCUGGGGGUGUUCAAGAAACAUUGAGCUUUUGUACCUAGGGGCGUGGAGUCAUGGGACAUAUUGGUGAUAGGUGGAUGGUUGGAGCCCUUGGAGGUCAUUUCCAGCCUUGCCGAUUCCCUGAGUCCUGUUUCUUAGCUCCAGAAUUCCACUGUCUCCUUCCCAAGGGUCAACAGGUAUUUGUCGACGGGGUGUAACGCCUCUCAUGCACGAAGAAGACAUUUGGGAAUUGGGAUGGAUUUUAUUGACAUGAUUGGUGACAGGGUGACAAUGGUGACAGACCCCUCAUGCUUGUGCAGACCCAAUGGUGUCCUGAUGAAGGGCCGCAGUGUGUUCUGGGGUCAGAAAAGAGUGGGCUUAGGUGGACGGAUGCCAAGGGCAGUUGCCAGCUCUCCAGGCAGGACCCAGCGAAGGAUGUCCUUCUGCAGCACAAACAGGGUGAAGAAGACAAGCUGCAGCAGGCCCAAGAACAGCAGAAACGCCCUGCGGAACAGAAGAAGGUCCAGUCAGAUUCCAGGGGCACGUUUGUCACAGCACUUUCCAUCCAGCCCUGGCAAAUGGCCCGUGGACAUGUGCCAUACAGGGAGCAAGGGAAUCUGUCGUAGGUCUGCGCAGGGCUGCCAAGAUCGCCACCCCACCUGCUCUCCCACCCAGGACCCUAAGCAAUAGUGAAGCAUUUUAUCUCCAAACAGUCAAAAGCUGCCUGAUGGUCUCUGGACCCCAGGGCGACUCACCGCAGCCAGGAAGUUACAAGUGGGUGCUUCUCUGCUGCCGCCUGCUCAUCCUAGAGGACAAAGCAAAGCAGGGCCACGCGUUGGGGUGAGCGCAGGUUUGGGCACUCGGAAGCCCUCCUUCGUCCCCACAACCAGAGGGAGGCCCAUAUCCCCUGCGGUGGCCCGGAGGUGAGCCUUCCCUCCCCAAGGCCCCGGUGGGGCUUUCUCUCUUACCAAUCGCACAGCCACUGUCUCCUGCAGCAGGGAACUCAUGUGCGCUUCCCUGCGUGUCAUCUUCCUCCUGCUACAGACAGGGGAGUUUGGUGUGUGAGAAGAGGCCUCGGCCGGCACCAGGACCUCACCCCCUCCCCACGCCCCCCAUCCCAAGGUGG